rnacentral:rRNA from 1 species
UGCCAGCAGCCGCGGUAACACGGGGGGCGCAAGCGUUAUUCGGAAUUAUUGGGCGUAAAGGGCGCGUAGGCGGAUUGGUCAGUCAGAGGUGAAAGCCCAGGGCUCAACCUUGGAAUUGCCUUUGAUACUGCCAGUCUUGAGUUCAGGAGAGGUAAGCGGAAUUCCGAGUGUAGAGGUGAAAUUCGUAGAUAUUCGGAGGAACACCAGAGGCGAAGGCGGCUUACUGGACUGAUACUGACGCUGAGGAGCUAAAGCGUGGGGAGCAAACAGGAUUAGAUA